AACAUGUCUUUUUGAGUUAUUUAAAAAGUCUAACCUGCCCACUGAAUUUUUAAAUGGCCGCAGUAUCCUAACUGUGCAAAGGUAGCAUAAUCAUUAGUCUUUUAAUUGGAGGCUGGAAUGAAUGGUUGGACGAGGUAUUAACUGUUUCAAAUAAAUUUUUUAUAGAAUUUUAUUUUUUAGUCAAAAAGCUAAAAUAGUAUUAAAAGACGAGAAGACCCUAUAAAUCUUUACUAAAAAUUUUGUUUUAAUUAUAUUGAUAAAUUUUAUUAUAAUAAAAUUUUUAGUUUUAUUGGGGUGAUAUUAAAAUUUAAUAAACUUUUAAUUUUUAUUAACAUAAAUUAAUGAAUAGUUGAUCCAUUAAUAAUGAUUAAAAAUUUAAGUUACUUUAGGGAUAACAGCGUAAUUUUUUUGGAGAGUUCUUAUCGAUAAAAAAGAUUGCGACCUCGAUGUUGGAUUAAGAAAAAUUUUAGGUGUAGCCGCUUAAAUAUUAAGUCUGUUCGACUUUUAA
rnacentral:rRNA from 1 species